GCCCGUAUAGCUCAGUGGUAGAGCGCAUCACUCGUAUCAAUUUGCGUCAUGAUGAGGUCCGCGGUUCAAUCCCGCGUGGGGGCA